rnacentral:rRNA from 1 species
GAGGAAGUAAAAGUCGUAACAAGGUCUCCGUAGGUGAACCUGCGGAGGGAUCAUUACACAAUAAACAUAUGAAGGCUGCACCGCCAACAGGCGGCAAGGCUGGAGUAUUUUAUUACCCUUGUCUUUUGCGCACUUGUUGUUUCCUGGGCGGGUUCGCCCGCCUCCAGGACCACAUGAUAAACCUUUUUUAUGCAGUUGCAAUCAGCGUCAGUACAACAAAUGUAAAUCAUUUACAACUUUCAACAACGGAUCUCUUGGUUCUGGCAUCGAUGAAGAACGCAGCGAAAUGCGAUACGUAGUGUGAAUUGCAGAAUUCAGUGAAUCAUCGAAUCUUUGAACGCACAUUGCGCCCUUUGGUAUUCCAAAGGGCAUGCCUGUUCGAGCGUCAUUUGUACCCUCAAGCUUUGCUUGGUGUUGGGCGUUUUUUGUCUUUGGUUUUGUCCAAAGACUCGCCUUAAAACGAUUGGCAGCCGGCCUACUGGUUUCGCAGCGCAGCACAUUUUUGCGCUUGCAAUCAGCAAAAGAGGACGGCACUCCAUCAAGACUCUAUAUCACUUUUGACCUCGGAUCAGGUAGGGAUACCCGCUGAACUUAAGCAUAUCAAUA